ACCUACGGGGGGCAGCAGUGGGAAAUAUUGGGCAAUGGGCGCAAGCCUGACCCAGCGACGCCGCGUGGGUGAAGAAGCGCCUCGGCGCGUAAAGCCCUGUCAGCAGGGAAGAAAAUGACGGUACCUGAAGAAGAAGCCCCGGCUAACUACGUGCCAGCAGCCGCGGUAAUACGUAGGGGGCAAGCGUUAUCCGGAUUUACUGGGUGUAAAGGGGGCGCAGACGGCGAUGCAAGCCAGGAGUGAAAGCCCGGGGCCCAACCCCGGGACUGCUCUUGGAACUGCGUGGCCAGAGUGCAGGAGGGGCG
rnacentral:rRNA from 1 species